CUGUCUAUGAAGAAAUAACAUAAAAAAAUGUGGUGCACACUGAAUAACGCGCGUAGCGGGUUAUUUAACAGUGUGCACCACAUUUUUUAUGUUAUUUCGAAUAGACAG
rnacentral:sRNA from 1 species